UUGUUUUUGCUUGAUUCAUGCCAAACCAAGAUGUGUUUAAAUUGUUUACGCUCUGGGAUAUGGUGAAUAGUUGGCUAAUUCGUGAACUUUGUUUUCCUCUUUAUUCCUAUUGCCUAGGACUCUUUCAGGUUGUGCCUAAUAAGAAUUUGAAAUAUGAAAUGUUCUAUUGCUUCACUUUUAUUAUUAUAGUAACUAUGUCGUUUUGUUUAAUUUCACUAAGCCAUGACAUUUUUUUCCUUUCCAGUUAGUUGUCUCAAAACUUAGUACUAGUUAUCUUUUCUUGAAUAACUGCAACUUUUUUCUUGAGAUUUUAUAUUUUCUUGCCCUUCUGCCAGUUUUUAUUAACUAAAUUAAAUAAGAGAUUGAAGGCUUCAAAGCUAUUGUACGUCGACUCUUCAUUUCCCUUGUAGUACCAAUGUCCAACACCCAUAUCUGACACAUAUUUGAACAUGGCUAUGGGGAAAUGAUUCUUCAAAUAUAUGGAACAACUUAAAAAAAGAUUGAGGUUACCUAUAUUGGACUAAUACCUCUGAGUUCGUGUAACAUAGCUUCAUACCUUAGUUCUUUGUUUGAUUGUUGGUUACCUUUUGAGUCAUAAGGUUUCUAGCAUAUAUUGAUUUAGGCAGUUCUUAUGUAUCCAAUUAGGGUUGUAGGUAGCCAUGCUAAAAUGUGAAAUAAACCUAUCUAAUGUUAAUAUUUAGAGUUUUUCACUGUCUUGGUUGCUUUGUUCAAGGGCACAAUUUCUAUUGUGAUUUACUUGCUUUGUUUGAUAGAUAAAUUUAUCUUUGAUGCCUUACCUUUUGAUUUAAAAUUAUGUAAUAGUCUCAUGUAAAUCAAAUCCAACACUACU
rnacentral:lncRNA from 1 species